AAGCGCUCUAUUCCAGAUCCCGUGACCGGAAGGAACCGGAAGUAAGCCGGAAACGGAAAUAGAUUGGUGCAAAAUGGUGUACGUGUCUAACGGACAAGUUGUGGAUAGCAGGAGUCAGGCACCAUGGCGUUUGUCAUCAAUAAUUCAGUUUUUCUGGGGAAUAGUGGAGUUUAUUUCCUUUUUCUUUCGGACAUUGUUCAAUCCUGCUGGAGCUGAAUAUAAAAGAACUGGAAAUCAGUCAUCCUGGGGUAGACCUGACGAUGGAAGAGGCCCUCCAGGAGCUCCACGAAGAAAAAUGGGUCGAGUAAAUCAUGGUGGAGGAGGGCCUGCACCACCUCCAAUGUCUGGGGGAUGAGGAAGGUAAAUGCCUGCUUUCCAGAGCAGGCACUUGGACAUACAUUCACAAGGUGAUGUGCAAGAACAUUGCGAGAAGAUGGGAAGAUUGGAAAAACCAGGUGUUAUUGAUGACGUGAAUGUGCUUGUCCACCCAGAAGAGUUGCUCAGUGUUAAAUACACUGAUUAAUGAAGCUGUGCUGGGAAUACCUGACUUUAAAGGCACUGGCACAAUGGAAAGGCAACCGUGCAAUAUAUUGAGUUUAAUAAAAUUGACUUUUCAAGCAUUCCUUUCAAAACUUAUGUUAAAUAAUCCUAUAUUGAACUUUAACUUUUGUUCUUCAGGUCUAGACAUCAGUAAAUUAUUUUUAAAUGUUUUUGCUUUGCAGACUAAAAACAUUCAGUUUGCAGUGACAGAGCACCUGAUAUCACACCAAUAUUUUUGCUAUGUCUAAUGUGUGUAAUCUUACCAUUAUGCUUAAUGGUCUCCCAAGGCAAGCUAUUAAGAAAUUCACAGAAGUAAUAUCCAUUUACAUGGCCACAGGUUGGCGAGAAGCAAAUCCGAGAAACCUUUUCUUUAUUUAGAAGUACUGCUGAAGUUUAAUCUGACAAUACAUCUUGCUAGUAGAGAGCACUAAUAAGCUUCCUGCUGGGAUCCCUGCUGUCCAACAAGAAUAGUCACCAGCUGUUUUUUUUGGUAACUAAUAAGCAUUGAUUGGAAGCUUCUCAUGGCAGAAGAAAAAACAAGUGAAUCUGCUUCUUAAAGAACAUGGCAAACAGCACAGCUCAUCAUAAAUUGUUGAGUGUAUCAUCGCUAUUCGUAGGACCAUGGAUAAGACACACACCAUUUCCAGUUCAACACUCAUUCCACCAGUUUGACGUGCAGAACUUCAGAAGUAACUGCCUAUAUGUAACUCAGUCUAGGAGACCAUCACAUACAUAUUUGCAUUAUCUGAAAACGAGAAUGUCAUACCUGAUGUCACAAGCUUCCAGUUUCCUCCUCAGUUAUAUAAUUUAUAUUUGUCGAGCAAGUGGGAUGGACAGCUUGUGACAAACUAGCCACCUACUGUUCUAAACAUAAGUACAGUAUUGCACAGCUUUAAUAAUGGGUAUGUACUUAUGUAGGGUUUGACUAAAGGAUAUGCCUACUUCUGUAGGAAAUGAAAUAUGCCAUCAACCUCUUGAGUAUGUUUGACUAUUCUAACAAUAUACCCACCUUUCUUCCAUAUCAUUUGGUACCCUUCCCUAACAAAAAUCUAUCACUGUCUUUCAAUUAACCCAUCAUUCACAACCUUUUGAAAGAGUGGGGAAGAAUGCUUCCUGAAACCAUGCCUAAAUGGCCCAGUUUAUGGUGUAAAGUUAAUGGGAUAAUAAACAUAAAAUUGAUAUUUUAUGUAGCGGUAGACAGCAUAUGACCUACUUAUUUAGACAGUUGUCAUGGCAAAGGGAUAAAAGAGAGAGCUUCUCUUUUGUUCAGUAACUUUUCCUGAAUUUCUUAGUUGUCCAGAAUAAAAAAAUUAGUUCAUGUAAAGCUCCAGAAAGAGAAAAUUUCCAUUAAGAAGGUGGGAGGAGGCGUAGAUGGACAAAUUAUGGAUAUGUUUUAAAGUACUCUUGUCCAGCUCAGUGAGAUUACCCCUGCCUUAUUUGAACUUGGUAGCAAGGAUCUCCAACAAAAGUUUCAUUUCCUAUCCUAUACCAAAACCUUUGGACCACAAGAGUCUAUCCUUGGUCCCUUCCUCUUUCUCAUCUACUUGCUGUCCCUUAUCAAAAUCAUCAACUAUGUUGAAUUAGUUUCCACAUGUAAGGUAAUGGUACUCAGCUCCACCUCUCCAACACCUCUCUCAGCCCCUCAGUUGCCUCUGGAUAAGCAGCAAUUUCCUCAAGUUAAAUUUUAGGGGGACUGAAGCAAUUGUCUUUAGACCCCAAACUCCAUAGUCUUGCCACUAAUUUCAUUCCCCUCCCAGCCACUGCCUCAGGCUGAACCAGUGUUGAUACGUUGAUGUCCUAUUUUCCUGAACUGAGCCUCGAUUCUUCAUGUACUCUUGAUUAGAAGGACUGCUGUUAGAAUAUUUUAAAGUAAUUUAAAUGCUCAAAGUAGCCCAGCAUGCUUUGCUUCAGCAUUUUAGCCAGAGCAGAAAUGUGGAGGAGAGAGAACAUUGUUCAUGCACUGAGGCAAGAUUCAAAGACAGUUUGGAAACAGAAGACAGAUUGAUAAAUUCCCAGGUCAAGAAAUGACACACACACAGAUACGGCAGCAGUUGCUGAGACACCACAUACCAUAGUAAAAGGUAACAUUGAGAUAUUGCUAAGGAAGUCUGAAUGAAAACCAGCAAGGUCAUUUGGCCUACACAUUUUAAAGUACAAUAAGCAAAGAUUGUAGAACACAGGAGGAAGCCGAAAGAUUAAAAGUACGAUUAACACUUCAAUUCACAGCCUCAGCAAAUGUGACCUGUGUUGUGUAUGGGUGCAGCCUGGGGUAGCCGAAUAAUAUAAGAAAGGGCCUAAGACCUCAAAAUUGGAAUGCUCUUGAGAUAGUUGGAAGUCCAUUUGCCUAAUGGUGACCCAUGAAAGUUACAGGUCUGAUCAUCUUGAAUAAUAUUUUAUGGAUGAGACGGUUGUAUUGCUUAUCAUAUAAUGUAACACUGUAGAACAUUGUACCAAAACUACUGUUACUGUCAAUGUAUAAGUUUUUUUUAAAGUCACUCAAACCUGUAUCAUUGCAGAGGAUAUUGUUUCAGGAUAAACAACCCUUUGCAUUUCUUGUGAAAUGUUUGAACCACAAACUAUUCCCACCUGUGUAACAUUGCUUGCCUCUACCCCUGCCUCAGUUUAUCACUUGCUGCAACACUCACCCAUGCAUGCAUUUGUCAUCAAUGGACUCUACUAUUUCAAUGUUUUCCUGGCCAGUCCAGUAAACUCUACCCACCAUGAACUUCAGCUGAGGACAUGGUUACCCAGCAUCUGGUUCCCGCAAUUUAAAAUUUUCAUCCCUGUUUUUAAUCCCUUCAUGGAUUAAAGGGAUCCUUACAGAGUAAGGUCGUUACUCUGUGGCCACCUCCAGUCCUACAAUACUCAAAGAACUCUUCAUUUCUCUGCUUUUGCCUACUGUGUUUUUACUCUUUUCUUUGCCCCAGCUCUGUUUACAACCACCUAGGAAUUUCCUCCUUUAAAAGAGCAGAGGCUGUAAGAUUUAAGGCUGUGGCUUAAAACUCAGCUCUUUGGCUUUUUGGUCUUAGCAUCCAUUGUACCUCUGAAGAGCCCAGAAUGUUUUUUUACAUUAGAGCCACAAUUCAAGUGUGAGUUUUCGUUGUACUGUAUACUAAAUGUAAAUAAAUUGAACUCAUUGUUUUAGCCUGUA